UCUCAGCCACCUGCAGUUUUACCAAUACCAGCAAAGCCAUCCAGACCUGUUUAGGAUGCUCCUUAUGGACGGAUUUGGCAUCCCCUGGCUUCCCCGCCGUGGUUCUGGACCGUGGCCUCUGCUGACUGAUCUUGGGAAGAUUUUGACAACUGUCGCUCAUCACCCUAGGGGAGGGAACAAAGACCCUGGAGGAAAUUAUUCAAACCAUUUAAUUUGAGCCAUUUGCUGUCUGACCUUUACGCCUGCCACGUACAAACGUUUACUCAGAGACGAGCUGAGGACACCCAAGCUGUCAAGCUGCCUCCCUGAAGAGAAGCAAAGUGCUCGAAAGACAUUCACUCUUGGAAUGUUCUCCUAGAUGAAACCUGGAAAGAAAGGAAACUGGAAAGUAAAUAGUGGAUGAGCUCUCUUCCUCAUAAAACCCAGCACAUCUGCAGCCUUCAUUGUAAAGGCUUGCACAUUUCCCGAUCAGGUAGGUGGCCAAACUCAGAUGUUUCCAAAUUUCCUCCCCUGCCAGUUAUUGAAUGGCAUUGUCCGGAAAAGAAAGGGGGCAUAGGUCAUCCAGUAAAUGCGAUACCUUUAUUUUGAGGGAAGGAGAAUUGAGGAAUAAGAGUGUGAUCUCUGUGUAUGUAGCUUGCUAUAGGGCCCUGGGAAUCUGAUUUGAUAGGCCUGAAACCUGAAUGGGAAAGGGAAGGUAUCUCAUGACUGGGUAGCUUUGUUAGAGUUUUCAAAAUGCAUAAUGGGAAUAUCUGUGUCAAUGAGGCCAUAAAAUUAUGAAUCUAGGUUGCUGAUGGUGGGGGCAGGGACAGGCAGAGUACAAGGGAUAUUUAGGGGUGAAGCUAUUCAAUGUAAUACUACAAUGCUGGAUGCAUGACAUUAUGAAUUUGUCAAAACUCAUGGAACCAUUCAACACAAGAGUAAACCCUGAUGUGAACUAUGGACAUUAGCUAACAGUAAUAUGUCA